rnacentral:rRNA from 1 species
CCUACGGGAGGCAGCAGUGGGGAAUAUUGCACAAUGGGGGAAACCCUGAUGCAGCGACGCCGCGUGAGCGAGGAAGUAUUUCGGUAUGUAAAGCUCUAUCAGCAGGGACGAAAAAAGACGGUACCUGACUAAGAAGCCCCGGCUAACUACGUGCCAGCAGCCGCGGUAAUACGUAGGGGGCAAGCGUUAUCCGGAUUUACUGGGUGUAAAGGGAGCGUAGACGGCAAGGCAAGCCAGAAGUGAAAGGGCAGGACUCAACCCUGUACAUGCUUUUGGAACUGUGGUGCUAGAGUGCAGGAGAGGUAAGUGGAAUUCCUAGUGUAGCGGUGAAAUGCGUAGAUAUUAGGAGGAACACCAGUGGCGAAGGCGGCUUACUGGACUGUAACUGACGUUGAGGCUCGAAAGCGUGGGGAGCAAACAGGAUUAGAUACCCGAGUAGUC